rnacentral:rRNA from 1 species
UACGUAGGGUGCAAGCGUUAAUCGGAAUUACUGGGCGUAAAGCGUGCGCAGGCGGUUUUGUAAGUCUGACGUGAAAUCCCCGGGCUCAACCUGGGAAUUGCGUUGGAGACUGCAAGGCUAGAAUCUGGGAGGGGGGUAGAAUUCCACGUGUAGCAGUGAAAUGCGUAGAGAUGUGGAGGAACACCGAUGGCGAAGGCAGCCCCCUGGGUCAAGAUUGACGCUCAUGCACGAAAGCGUGGGGAGCAAACAGG